rnacentral:rRNA from 1 species
AGAGAGAGACAUGCGCGCAUAUCAAUAAGCGGAGGAAAAGAAACUAACAAGGAUUCCCCUAGUAACGGCGAGUGAAGCGGGAAGAGCUCAAAUUUGAAAUCUUAAAGGGUUUCCCUUUACGAAUUGUAGUUUAAAGAAGUGUUUUCUGUUGAGGUUUUGGUAAAAGUUCUUUGGAAUAGGACAUCAUAGAGGGUGAGAAUCCCGUAUUUGACCUUUACUUUCAACUUUGUGAUACACUUUCAAAGAGUCGGAUUGUCUGGGAAUGCAGUCCAAAAUGGGUGGUAAAUUUCAUCUAAAGCUAAAUAUUGGCGAGAGACCGAUAGCGAACAAGUACCGUGAGGGAAAGAUGAAAAGAACUUUGAAAAGAGAGUUAAACAGUACGUGAAAUUGUCAAAAGGGAAGCGUUUGACACCAGUGUUGUUUUUCUGAAAAUCAAUUAAAGAACUGUUUAUGCUAAGCUGUUUAGACUUUAUCAGCUAUACUGUUUAGUUUUGAGCCUUUCUUUAAUGCACUUUUCAGUUAACAAGUCAACAUCAAUUUCUUUUGCUGUAAAAAAGCUUGAGGAAGGUGGCUUGAGAUUCGUCUUAAGUGUUUAUAGCCUCUUGCCUAUGCAGUCGGAGAGAUUGAGGUCUGCAGCGUAGAUCCUUCGGGGCUAAAUGCAUUUGUGCUAAGUUAUAGCAUUUUAUAGACAACUUGUUGACUAUGAUUUGUCUUGUAGCUUACUCGCUUAUGUUAUUUUACCUACGCUUAGGAUGUUGACGCAUGAGAUAUACGC